GGAUUUUCUUAGUAGCGGCGAGCGAAAAGAAAAUAGUUCAGCACUAAGUCACUUUGUCUUUAUGGCAAAUGUGAGAUGCAGUGUAUGGAAUGUCAAUUUUCUAGUAUGAGAAAUUAACGAUUUAAGUCCUUCUUAAAUGAGGCCAUUUACCCAAAGAGGGUGCCAGGCCCGUAUAACGUUAAUGAUUACUAGAUGGCAUUUCCAAAGAGUCGUGUUGCUUGAUAGUGCAGCACUAAGUGGGUGGUAAACUCCAUCUAAAACUAAAUAUAACCAUGAGACCGAUAGUAAACAAGUACCGUGAGGGAAAGUUGAAAAGAACUCUGAAUAGAGAGUUAAAUAGUACGUGAAACUGCUUAGAGGUUAAGCCCGAUGAACCUGAAUAUCCGUUAUGGAAAAUUCAUCAUUAUGAUUUUAAUAUUUAUAAUAUUAUAAUAAUGGUGUGCAUUUUUUCUAUAAAGGACAUUGUAAUCUAUUAACAUAAAUUAAUUUAUCAUAAGAUCAUUUGCGUAAGUUUAUUCAAAUUAUUUUGCUUGCAUUUUAAUAUCGAAUAAAUGCUUUUGAUUUGAUAAAGUGUUGAUAGAUUUAUUAUAUACAGUGCUUAAAUAUUUAUAUUUUAUAAUAGCAUAUUAAUCAAUGAUUUUUAUGUUCAUUAUAUGCACUUGUAUGAUUAACAAUGCGAAAGAUUCAGGAUACCUUCGGGACCCGUCUUGAAA
rnacentral:rRNA from 1 species